rnacentral:lncRNA from 1 species
GAGCUCAGAUCAUGCCCUGGAGAAGCAGGUGACAUCGCGGAAUUUUCCUGUUCCAGAUGCCAGAAGUCUGAAAUGAAGGUGUAAAGCAGGGUGGUUCCUUCUGGAGGCUCUGAGAGAAUCACCCCAGGCCUCUCUCCAGCUUCUGGUGCUGGUAUUCUCAGGCUUGUAGGCGCAUCACCCAUGUCUGCCUCCAUCUUCACAUGGCCUUCUCCUCUGUGUCUGCCUGAAGUCUCCCUUCAUUUCUCUUUGCUGGCUUGUGUUUGACACCAUGCCUGACACAUUGGGGGUGCUCAGUAGACCUGUGUGAGAUGGACAGCCUCCCGUACAGAUGGACGGACAGAUGUACAGGUAGGUGAAUGAACUUUCGUUGCCCCUAAAGCAGGAGAGACUCUGAGUUUCUGAGACAACGGCCAAGAACUUUCUGAUAAGAUCUCUGCAUUUAAGGUUCAGAAAAACUCGAUGAGGACAAUAUUUUUCUCCCGAUUUUGCAGAUAAGAAAAUAGAGGCAUAGAGAAGUCACUUGCUAGUAAAUGUUAGAGGCAGCUUUCUAACCCAGGUCCAUGUGAACCCAGAAAAAGAGGCAGUGAGCACCUGUUCACCCAGGAGCAGCUCUCAGAAGAUAAGAUAAUACGAGGAGGAGGCAGCAGACCCCUAUGCCACGCGUCCACCUGGGGCUGUCCAUCACUUCCUGCAAGAUCUUGCUGGUAGCCAGAUUCUCAGAGACCCCCAGUGAGCCCCGCCUCCUGGUUUUCACACCCUGUGUAGUUUCCUUUCCCCAGGGAUGGUCCAAGUGACCAGCAGCCCGUGGCAGAAGUGAUGGAAUAGCACUUCCAAGCUUAGGUUAUGAAAGAUUGCAGCUUCAAUCUCCUGCCCCACACCCCGUCUCUCUCUCUAACCCCACUCCCUCCCUCCCUCUCUCAUCUCUGACUCUGGGGGAAGCACACUGCAGCCCCGUGGAGAUGCCCUGUGUAAGCCACUGAAGCCUCUGGCCAACAGCAGUGGGAACCUGAGACGUGUCCACAAGCAUGCAUGGGAGCUUGGAAGUGGAUCCUUCAGCCCCAGCCAAGCCUUCAGACGAUGCAGCCUCAGGGACAGUAUGACUGCAGCCUCAUGAGACCCUGAGCCAGAAACACCCCUCCAAGCCACUCCCAGAUGCCUGGCCCUCAGAACCUGGGAGGUAAUAAAUAUUUAUGGCUGUUUGAAGCUGCUGUAUCGGGGGACAAUUUGUUACACAGUAAUAGCUAACUGGUGCAGUCCUGGGACUCUUAGCAGUUUGGAGUAUCAGUUAUUUUGCCAAGGCGGGGAAGUUAACAGUGGUCAUUGCAGCAGCUGCACUUGGGGACCACAAUAAAGAAGCUUUCUCAGACUGGUUUGAACAAAGUGGUGAAUUCUCUGCAAGGACACAGAGGUGUCUCUCAAAACCCAAGGAUGGGACAGCAGGCCUCAAGAAGAACUGGAACCUCUGUCCCUUCUGUGCUUCUUUUUACUCCUGUGUUCUCUGCUUCUUGGAGCACUUGGCAGUUGGGAAGUGGCCAUUUCAAUUCUCGUGGUCAAGAAACCAGCUCAGAAAUAACCCAACCAACACAGGUGGGGUCAGGUGUCCAUCCUGGCUCCAUUUGUCAUGGCGGGAGAUGGUGAUGAAGAGAAACAUCCAGGACCAUUGGUAGGGCACCCGAAUGAGAUUCCAGGAGAGGCCAGUUCUAAGAGAAGGGUACUAGAAAGAUACCCAUUGAAGUCAAUACCACAUGUGGCACAUCCUCCUUUCAGGUGGCAAGUGUGUAGCCAAAGCAAGGUUCAGGGUCCAUAUUUGAAAGUCAGAAACUGAAUAAACUGUUUUCUCCCACCCCGAGCACUGUGGGGAACUCUGCUCACAAAUCCACCAUCCACCAUCACCAGCCGUGCUCAUCUGACCAUUCAUGCAGGCUCACACUUGACCUGAUGUGGGUUCUGUCUCCUUUGCUUGAGAAUUGAAAGGCCUGGGAGAUGCAAAAGCUUUAGGCUCCAGCCAUCUCCCCAUGUCAGGUAGGCCUUUUGCCUAGUGUAUCCAGUUGGUAAUGCUGCAGAGAUGCAUGAAGCUGGAGUCAGAGGCCACCUGUAGUGCUGCCCUGACUUCAGACCUGAGCCCAGCCCAGCAGCAGAGAGGGGGCUGGGAGCCAGAGGAGGCCUCACAGUAACAGCACAGACAGGUGGGGGCCCACAACAGGCCACAUGUGUUCAAACUCGAGUGUGGGCAGAGGAGCAUGGGAAGCUCAGAGCCCUGAGCUCACCCCACACCCAACACGAGUGGGGUCACCCAAAAUCAGCCUGUCAGCACUGUCCCAGCAGCCAGUCGCAUGCUACAUUAACAAAUUUUGCACAGGCCAGCAAGCAGGAUCGCUCACCAGCCACCCUCCUGAACUGGCCUAUGGGGCCCCAGGAUGAUGCCAUAGCCACAAGUCUGGAGUUCCUCAAAGUACCUGGUCAGCACAACUCAGUUAAACAAUGGGCAAAAGACCUGAACAGACACUUCGCCAGAGAAGAUGUACAGAUGCAAGUAAGCAUUUGAAAAGGUGCCCCACAUCGUAUGUCGUUAGGGAAUGGUCCAAUCCAGAACACUGAUGGCACCAAAGGCUGCUGAGCAUGUGGAGCAGCAGAACUCUCAUUCACUGCUGGUGAGAAAAAUGGCGCAGCCCCAAUAGGGAACCCUAAUGCAGACUCUGGACUUCACUGGAAAUGACGUGUCAGUGUAGCUGCGUCAGUUGUAACAAAUGCACCAGUCUGGUGGGCGUGUUGAUAACCGGGGCUGCGCACGUGGGGAGAGAGGACCUGUGGGAAUGCUCUACUUUCCACUCAUUUUUGCUGUGAACUUAAAACUGCUCUUACAAAAUAACAUUGUUUGUUGUUGUUGUUGUUGUUGUUGUUGUUGUUGUUUUUAAGUAUCUAGUCAGCUCCACACAUGACCCGGGCAGAGUGGGAAGUUGUAGAGUGCCCCAAGGAGAGAAAUGGAACCAGGUCUCAUGUGGGGCCAAGUGUGGGCUCCCUGUCCUCUCAGCUGGUCCCAGGAACUGAAGGGAAAUUUAGACAACUUGGAGAAAGACACUCUAGGGCUCGGGGCAAAGGGUGGUGUUGAUGAGAACCAUAUUUUUUUAUUGCUGGUGUAAGCACUUGUAUUUUUCUGAUUUUCCACUGGUUCGAUAAUAAGGGUAAAAGACAAUAAAGCAUACUUUUUAAGCUUUUGUUUAGAAGUUUUUUUUCCAAUAAAACUUCCCCAAAA